rnacentral:tRNA from 1 species
GGUUUCAUAGCUCAGUUGGUAGAGCAUUGCAAUAGUAACGAGGAGAUCAUGGGUUCAAAUGCCGUUGAAGCCA